ensembl:lncRNA
CAGGAAGGGGGCUGUCCUGGCCUCACUUCCUGCCCCCACACCCCUCCGCGACUCGCGGCCACUCUGCCCCAGGGGGCCGCACCCUAGACUUGGGACUAAAAUCCCACUGGACUUCUCUGCCAGCGCCCGCGGACUGGCUGGCUGCUGCUGCCCUUCUGCGGAAGGACGUGGGCUCAGAGAGGCUGGGGGUCUGGCGCCGGGCCCUGCAGCCCGUGGUGGGCGUGGGCUCGCCCCGCACAGAGCACUGCCAGCCCCCUCCUCUCCCACCUUGCCCCCUCAGGCCCAGACUCCCUGACUGACAGCGGCCACUGAGACCCUCUGCGGCCCAUGACGCGGGCUGCAGUGUGACUCCGACCCUGGGGGUCAGCAAGGGGCUGCGGUUCUGGCCAGGUCUCCCCCCGGGGGAGCCCUCCCCCACCCCAUCCCACUGGGCAGCCUGCCCCUCCCUGUACCCUCCUAGAGUGGGCCGCUCCAGGCAGGCCCCCACGGAGCCAGGCUCCGGGCUGUCAGCCACGGGAUGCAGCCUGUCCGGACAGUCCUCGGGUGCGGGGCUCCGCUUCUGUGUGCUGCUGGGGUUACCUCCUCCUCCUGGGGGGCAGAGCCCAAGGGUCACUCUGGGCUCGGCUCUGGGCUGGACAGAUGUGGACAACGUACCAGCUGGGUUCUCUCUCUGCCUCAGCUUCGCCUGUAACAUGGGGUCGCCAUCUGAGCUGCCUUCAGUCACCUCCCAGUCCAGUGAGUAGCUGUCUGUGAGCCUGCAGUGGGCCACCGCCACGGCUCAGCACCGUCCUGUUUUGGAGGAAAUAUCUUUAAAACUCACAGUGACCACGACGCUCACAGUGUGCCAGCUUUAGGGGUAGGACCUGCGGCAGUAACGGGAGCCCCCCAGCGGAGUGGAGAGGUUAGGGGUACCUGCGGCAGUAACGGGAGCCCCCCAGCGGGGUGGAGAGGUUAGGGGUACCUGCAGCAGUAACGGGAGCCCUCUCAGUGGGGUGGAGAGGUUAGGGGUACCUGUGGCAGUAACUGGAGGCCCCCAGCGUGGUGGAGAGGUUAGAGGUACCUGCGGCAGUAAUGGGAGCCCCACUGGGGGUGGCCUGGCAGAAGGCACUGCAGGUGUGACGGAGUGGAGUCAGCGUCACCCCAGGUGGGGUCGUCGGGGGCCUUGGGCAGCCCUCGUGUGCCUGCUGGGCCGUGUAUGAGUCCCCCGGGGCACCAGGGAGCCAUCGAAGGUGAAGGCGGGCAGGACGGGCAUCGUCAGCACCCCUCUUUGCCCCUCUCCUUCUAUGGGUGAGGCUGGCUGGUGUCCCCUGAACUGUGCCCUCAAAGAGACCCCCCUGCAGCUCAUGAAAUGAGAGAGUUCAAGGAGACCCCCACCCAGGCGGAUCCCCACCCCUCUCCCCGCCUGGACGAGUGGAUUGGGGGCUGCUGUCCAAACCACCUGAGGGAGGCCCCUCCCAUGCUGCUUAGGGCAAGCCCAUCCCUGUUCUCUGAGUGGUCAAGAACCGCCUGUGAUGCAGGAGAUGCAGGCUUGAUCACUGGGUUGGGAAGAUCCCUCGAGGAGCAAAUAGCAACCCACUCCAGCAUUCCUACUUGGAAAAUCCCAUGGAUGGAGGAGCCUGGAGGGCUACAGUCCCUGGGGCUGCAAAUGAGUUGGAUACAGAUGCUAAACAAUGACACCCCCCGCCACCCCCAGCCUGGACCUGCCCCACACCCGGUUGCCUAGCUCACCAGGACUGGCAAAGCCCCUCCUACUUUCUACCUGAACGUGUUCUGGCUUCUGCUUGGUUAUGGAAAUGGGGGGGUUCCCCACUCGCUGGGCGGGGCCGGCGUCCCCCUGUGCGGGUGGGCCUUGGCUCAGGCUCUGCCCCUCUCUGAACCUCUGUGGUCACUGGGGAGGGGGUUUGUGUGCGGCUGGGGCUCACCGCAGACUCACAGGCUGUGCUGAUGACCUUUGUGGACCCCAGGCCACGAAAACAGAGCCAGCCAGAGUAGGGCAGGCGCUAG